rnacentral:rRNA from 1 species
UACGAAGGGGGCUAGCGUUGCUCGGAAUCACUGGGCGUAAAGGGCGCGUAGGCGGGCUCUUAAGUCGGGGGUGAAAGCCCAAGGCUCAACCUUGGAAUUGCCUUUGAUACUGAGGGCCUUGAGACCGGAAGAGGUCGGCGGAACUGCGAGUGUAGAGGUGAAAUUCGUAGAUAUUCGCAAGAACACCAGUGGCGAAGGCGGCCGACUGGUCCGGUUCUGACGCUGAGGCGCGAAAGCGUGGGGAGCAAACAGG